AUUGAACGCUGGCGGCAUGCUUUACACAUGCAAGUCGGACGAGUGGCGAACGGGUGAGUGAUAUAUUGGACCGUACCGAUUAAUGGGGGAUAACCAAUCUAAAGAUUGGCUAAUACCGCAUAUUAUUCGAGCGGCCUAUAUCUGAUUAGCUAGUUGGUGGGGUAAAGGCCUACCAAGGCGACAAUCAGUAGCGGGUCUGAGAGGAUGAUCCGCCACACUGGGACUGAGACACGGCCCAGACUCCUACGUGAGGCAGCAGUGGGGAAUUUUGGACAAGGGGCGCAAGCCUGAGCCAGCCAGGCCGGGUGUCUGAAGAAGGCUUUCGGGUUGUAAAGGACUUUUGUUAGAGAUGCGGUAUCUAAAGAAAAAGCACCGGAUAACUACGUGCCAGCAGCCGCGGUAAUAC
rnacentral:rRNA from 1 species